GACUGGAUGCAGAAGUUAGGCAAUGGGGCUGAAAUGGGUGUGUUGGGGGGGCAGAAUGCCCCAAACAUAUUUUUACCCUGAAAUUCUUUGCAAAGGAGUGGGGGGGGGACACCUAAACUGUAUCUGCCUGAUUGAAUUGUUUUCUUGUUCGGAUGCUGUUGGGUCCAAGCAUCGCCUGGUGUAAUGGCAAGGUGCCACGUGCUGUCCUUCACAACGUCCCGCAGGUUAAGCGCCAGUGUGCCCUCUCUUUGAGAGGGAGUGAGGCCAGGAGUAAUUCCCAAGUCACAUGGACGUGUUGCCCCGCGUACUUGCCUCGCGUCUUAUUAAUCUGUUUCUGAGAGUUGAAGAGAGCACCCCUGAUCGGCGCCAGAAGAAUCGCAAGUCAAAAAGUGGGCUUGCAAAAAUCUUCCUCACAAGCCAUGUGGGCCCUUCGACCGAGUCUCCUCUUCUUCUUGGUGUCGCAGGCUGGACGACCCGGCUUCGGCUUUUCCCAGCCGGCAAGACCAGUGUUCAAGUGCGAAUCGGCCGAGAGCUGCAUCGGUCCUGAGGUGCAGAGCAUCAGUGCUUGGUAUUUGUGGUUGUGCGUCUCCCUCGCCCUGGCCAUGCUGCUGUUAUGCACCGUCGCCUGUUGCCUUCACUGCUGGCUGAAAAGACGAAGGCUCUCCUCCUCCUCACCAUCACGCACGCUAGCCGUGUUUGCUCUCAGCGACACACAUCCCGCCUACGAGGGAGAAGCAGCCAAAAUCCAUCCUCACUUCCAGAUUCCAGAGCGGGGCUCUUCCGACGCCGGCUUUGCGGUGGUGGUGGGGAGCGGACCCCCUCCUGCCUACAAGGAGGCCGCGAUGCAAGAAGGGUGCCGGGCCCUCAGGACCACGAGGGGUGCAGUGAUACCCCCGGAUUUACACCUGUAAGGAGCACAGGGGCCACCCCCUGUCUCGUGGCUUGACUUACCUGUCGGGACUGCUGGGAGGCUGAAGGAUGACUCUCAGCCCUUCUGGUUAAAACGGUCAAUAUUGAACUAGUAUUUUAGCUGAUGCAAUGGAGUAAAAAUGUUUGUGAUGAAAAAGGACAUCAGCGUUGCCUUUGCCUCCUAGUUAUUUUUAGCGCCUCUGUCCCAUCCAUGUGCGUUUCCAGCCUACACAGGCUUCCUAGGAGAUGGUGUUUAGAAAAGUCACUGUUCCAGGCUUUGCUUCCACAGAAAGUCUGCAGGGAUGGGGGGUUCCAGGCCAAAGAGGGUGAGCUGCCCCAUGGAAAGAGAACUCCACGAAAUGAUAACUCCUUGGCUCCCACCGUAACAUCUCAGAUAGGAACCCACAGAAGGAAUUCUCUCCCCACCCCACCCCCCGAAACCCUCUCCGGAAGCUGAGGAAAGACAACAUGAGCUUUGGGGAGCCAGAGCAGGAAGGAAACAUUCCUUUCAGGUACACGGUCAAGACAAUUCAAAUGUCAACUUCGUACCGGGUGGCGGUGGUGGUGACUGGUAUGAUUCAAGAGCUUGCAUCCUUGAAAGGAGAGAGGGGAAUUCCUUGCAUGUCAGUCUAAGGCCAGAAUCUAUCCUAAUGGCCAUCCAGAGAUGCUAGCUUUCUAGGUCCAUUAGGACCCACGUAUUUAUGGGAUCAGUAUCCAUGGAUUCACUUAUCCACCAUUUGAAAAUAUUAAAUGAAAAAUUGUAAAAAAAUACAUAUUUGUAAAUAUGAAGUUACAAGAACUGGCCACUGGAGAGAGCCAGAAACCAUGAUAUGUACAACUUUCACUAUUAAAAUUCCAUUCACUCUCAUCUGCAUUUUUCAACAUCUGUGGGGUGGGGGUGGGGCUUGGAACCGAUACCCCACAGAUCCAGGGGUCCUACUGUACAUGGAAUUGUGUUAGGGUGUGCUUUUCUGCAUUGAUUUUGAGCGGAAGUGCCUGCAG
rnacentral:lncRNA from 1 species